GUGGUAUGCCCAAGGUUACACACUAUGCUACUUUGAGUGAUGCCCACUGCUAACAAUUCAGGUACAAUGAUGGAAAAGCCAGACAGGGCUGAUGGCCCAUCAGUGAGGACAGUGGACUGUGAAAAGGCUUGGUCUUCCUGCCGACGCUCCAUACAGUUACCCACUCAUGGUCACUGUGAUACUACAGAGUCAGGUGGUCUUGUUACCUGAUACUAAACA